rnacentral:rRNA from 1 species
GUGCCAGCAGCCGCGGUAAUACGGAGGGGGCUAGCGUUGCUCGGAAUUACUGGGCGUAAAGCGCACGUAGGCGGAUCAGAAAGUUGGGGGUGAAAUCCCGGGGCUCAACCUCGGAACUGCCUUCAAAACUAUUGGUCUUGAGUUCGAGAGAGGUGAGUGGAAUUCCGAGUGUAGAGGUGAAAUUCGUAGAUAUUCGGAGGAACACCAGUGGCGAAGGCGGCUCACUGGCUCGAUACUGACGCUGAGGUGCGAAAGCGUGGGGAGCAAAC